AUUGAACGCCGGCGGCAUGCUUUACACAUGCAAGUCGAACGGUAACAGGGAGCUUGCUCCGCUGACGAGUGGCGAACGGGUGAGUAAUGCGUCGGAACGUGCCGAGUAGUGGGGGAUAACGCAUCGAAAGGUGUGCUAAUACCGCAUACGUACUGAGGUAGAACGUGGGGGACCUUCGGGCCUCACGCUAUUCGAGCGGCCGACGUCUGAUUAGCUAGUUGGUGAGGUAAAGGCCCACCAAGGCGACGAUCAGUAGCGGGUCUGAGAGGAUGAUCCGCCACACUGGGACUGAGACACGGCCCAGACUCCUACGGGAGGCAGCAGUGGGGAAUUUUGGACAAUGGGCGCAAGCCUGAUCCAGCCAUGCCGCGUGUCUGAAGAAGGCCUUCGGGUUGUAAAGCACUUUAAGCGAGGAGGAGGCUACUAGUACUAAUACCACUGGAUAGUGGACGUUACUCGCAGAAUAAGCACCGGCUAACUCCGUGCCAGCAGCCGCAGUAACAC
rnacentral:rRNA from 1 species